rnacentral:lncRNA from 1 species
GAGCUCACACCUAAAUUAUGGCAAAAAUUCAUAGCCCACACCAAAAUCACUAUCCACAAAAAAACUUGAGAGAGAGAGAGGUAGAAGCAGACUCAAUGAAGACCCAAAGAUAAAUCGUGGAACAGCUUCAAUCGCCGUGGUGGUUUGUCGUCGCCGUCUGCCAUCGCUGUUGCUGCCUGUCAUCGCCGUCUACAACCCAUAGUCGGUGGUUGUGAUUGCCGUUGGGUGGUUUAGGGUUUAGGGUGGUUGCCGCCGGCGCUUCGGUGGAGUUAGUUGCAGAAUUUUGGUCAGGACUAAUAGUCCCUCAUUUUCACAUGGGUUUAGCUAAGAACACCUAAGAAGGUAUUUUUGGUGGGCUUGGAAUUACUAAUCCCACUUAAUAUUAGGACCAAGUGACAUCAAACAUGGGAUUAACUUCCGGGAGACUUUGGAAAAGCCCAAAGGAGAGAGAAAAAUUUUAAAAGAAGCCAAAAUGGACAAAAUUGCCCUUAUUUAUUUUUUGAUUUCCUAAAGAAUCUUUUACAUUUGCAUGUCUUUGGUUUGAAAGUUGAGAGGUUUUUCUGUCUUUUUUGAAAAAGCUUUGGCUUUUUCCAAAAGUAAAAGUUUUUUUAUGGGUAAAACCUAAAUUUACUUUAACUUUUAGCCAAGCCAAUCCAAGCCAAAGAGGUGUAACAAACAAGCCCCAAGUGUUUAAAAACGUG